rnacentral:rRNA from 1 species
UACGUAGGGUGCGAGCGUUAAUCGGAAUUACUGGGCGUAAAGCGUGCGCAGGCGGUUCUCCAAGUCCGUUGUGAAAGCCCCGGGCUCAACCUGGGAAUGGCAGUGGAAACUAGGGGACUGGAAUCUGGCAGAGGGGGGUGGAAUGCCGCGUGUAGCAGUGAAAUGCGUAGAGAUGCGGCGGAACACCGAUGGCGAAGGCAGCCCCCUGGGCUGAGAUUGACGCUCAUGCACGACAGCGUGGGGAUCAAACAGG